UAAUUGGAAAACUACCUUGGC
rnacentral:piRNA from 1 species